GACGAACGCUGGCGGCGUGCCUAACACAUGCAAGUCGAACGGGGGUAGCAAUACCUCAGUGGCGAACGGGUGCGUAACACGUGAAGAAUUUGUCCGACGGCGGGGGAUAGCCGGCCCAACGGCCGGGUAAUACCGCGUACGACCUUUGGGGGGCAUCCCCUGGAGGUGAAAGCCGCAAGGCGCCGAUGGAGAACUUCGCGGCCUAUCAGCUAGUUGGUGAGGUAACGGCUCACCAAGGCUUAGACGGGUAGCGGUCUGAGAGGACGACCAGCCACACUGGAACUGAGAUACGGUCCAGACACC
rnacentral:rRNA from 1 species